rnacentral:lncRNA from 10 species
CCCGCCUCCAGGCUGGUCAGAGAGGGAGCCCCAGCUACCGAGUGCCAACUAUGUGUCAGGCACUGUGCUAGGCACGAUGCCACCUUUAGUCCUCACCUGUGAGAGAUAGCUAUUAUGAGCCCCAUUUUAGAGAUGAGAAAAGUGAGUCUCAGGGAGGUCACGCAGCUGUUAACGAAAGGCAACCCCAGCCACGUGGACUCAAAAUGUUUGCUUUUCGUGCUACCCCACCUCCUGACUCUGCCCCCAGCACAGUCACCCCGCCCCAACCAAUCUCACAUCUGCUGACUUCCAGGCUGGAUCCAGAACUCCCACCAGAAACUGGAGAAAACAGCUAGCAAAAGGAAGAGUAUAAAACAGCCACUAAUCCUAUUACCCAGAGAGAACCACUGCUGGCACUUGGGUAUCUCCAGAAUUUUCCAUGACUCACUGACCUGACCCCUCCAUCUCCCCAACUCACUGUGCCCCAAGGUAUCUUGGAAAAAUCCCCAAAGAAGAUAUGGCAGUUUUGUUUGUGUGGCCUGUGAGCUGGGAUGGGAGCUGAGUCCAGAGUCCAUAAGAGCCCCCACCCACUCUCCUGGGCAGCAACGAAAGACCACCAGGAAUGUCCAACAGGGAAUAGAUUUAUGGCCAAGCUAGGAGGAGCAUCCCUGUGAAGACACCUACGGAGUCGUUUCGACAGGAGAAUUUACAAGCGCCCUCCUUCGCUUGCUACUGAGUGGAAAAAUACACUGAGCCCAGAGCAGUGAACUCCUUGCCAAGGCCUGUGACUCAUCUCCAAGUCAUAAAUAACGGGUCCCUCAUGACAAAGCAGAGAAGGGAGCCGGGCCCAGGGCCACGUAUUUAUUAGAAAAGAGAGUGGAACCAUUAGUCGGGGGCUUGGUUUCCAGGAAACUCAAACCACACCACAGUAGAGAAGGUCAGGAGGCCCUUCCACAGGAAUUCAGACCUGACAUUUUUUUCAUAUUCUCAAACUUUCAUGUGGGGAGGAGACCCCUGCUACAUCCACCAGAGGCAUCCCCUGGCCACCCAGUUCCAUGGGCCAGGAGGAGUCUUGCUGUUUCCCAGGCCCUGGGGGCCACUCCACCAUCCCCUGCCCCUGAUACUUUUGAUGGCGACCAGGGGAGGCAGAACCGCCUGUCUCGGUGGCCCCACUGACAUCAGGAAACGUUUAGUGCCUGAGAAGUGUGACCUCUGACGAGUUACGACUCCUCCUGAGGCCUCCAUUUCACAAACCUUCCAGGACCGCUGUCAGAAUGAGGUGGGGGAGUAGACUCAGGACCGUGCAAGCCCAUGGGAUGAGCUCACAGCCAUGAGCGGCAUGGUCUAAGGGAAGAAGGAAAGAGAAGAGAAGAGAAAAGUUGGCUCUGCUGGUCUCUCCCUCUGGGUUGUUCCCCUUGUCUCUGUGCUCUUCUCUGUCUCUGAUUAUAAAGGACUCAGAAUCUAAAGGAUAAUAGAUGCAGAUGGAUGGAACAAUAAAUCGUGUGGACUGUUGAUAAAACCUUUGUGCUUGAAGAAAAUACAACUGUGUGUGGUUCUGAGAAGGCUGAACUCAUCAUCUCCCCCUAAACCCACUCGUGUGUGGUCAACACCACCUCCCUAGUUGUUCAGGCCAGAAAAAUGUGUGUCUAGGUUGAUACCCCACAUCACCCCUACUUCCUGCAGCAAUGACCUUUGCUCUCC